rnacentral:rRNA from 1 species
ACCUACGGGGGGCAGCAGUGAGGAAUAUUGGUCAAUGGGCGAGAGCCUGAACCAGCCAAGUCGCGUGAGGGAAGACGGUCCUAUGGAUUGUAAACCUCUUUUGCCGGGGAGCAAAAAGCGGUACGUGUACCGCAUCGAGAGUACCCGGAGAAAAAGCAUCGGCUAACUCCGUGCCAGCAGCCGCGGUAAUACGGAGGAUGCGAGCGUUAUCCGGAUUUAUUGGGUUUAAAGGGUGCGUAGGCGGACGCUUAAGUCAGCGGUAAAAUUGCGGGGCUCAACCUCGUCGAGCCGUUGAAACUGGGUGC